rnacentral:rRNA from 1 species
UUUAACUGAAGAGUUUGAUCAUGGCUCAGAUUGAACGCUGGCGGCAGGCUUAACACAUGCAAGUCGAGCGGGGGAAGGUAGCUUGCUACCGGACCUAGCGGCGGACGGGUGAGUAAUGCUUAGGAAUCUGCCUAUUAGUGGGGGACAACAUCUCGAAAGGGAU